rnacentral:tRNA from 1 species
UUAUAGGGUGGAGAGGCGGCCUUCUAAUUCGCUGGAAAGUGUAAACUUACACCCUAUUUA